UACGAAGGGGGGCUAGCGUUGCUCGGAUUGACUGGGCGUAAAGGGCGCGUAGGCGGUUCGUACAGUCAGACGUGAAAUUCCUGGGCUCAACCUGGGGGCUGCGUUUGAUACGUGCGGACUUGAGUGCGGAAGAGGGUCGUGGAAUUCCCAGUGUAGAGGUGAAAUUCGUAGAUAUUGGGAAGAACACCGGUGGCGAAGGCGGUCUGCUGGGCAGUAGCUGACACUGAGGCGCGACAGCGUGGGGAGCAAACAGG
rnacentral:rRNA from 1 species